GACGAACGCUGGCGGCGUGCUUAACACAUGCAAGUCGAACGGAAAGGCCCUGCUUUUGUGGGGUGCUCGAGUGGCGAACGGGUGAGUAACACGUGAGUAACCUGCCCUUGACUUUGGGAUAACUUCAGGAAACUGGGGCUAAUACCGGAUAGGAGCUCCUGCUGCCUGGUGGGGGUUGGAAAGUUUCGGCGGUUGGGGAUGGACUCGCGGCUUAUCAGCUUGUUGGUGGGGUAGGGGCUUACCAAGGCUUUGACGGGUAGCCGGCCUGAGAGGGUGACCGGCCACAAUGGGACUGAGAUACGGCCCAGACUGCUACGGGAGGCAGCAGUGGGGAAUAUUGCACAACGGGCGGAAGCCUGAUGCAGCAACGCCGCGGGCGGGAUGACGGCUUUCGGGUGGUAAACCGCUUUCGCCUGUGACGAAGCGUGAGUGACGGUAAUGGGUAAAGAAGCACCGGCUAACUACGUG
rnacentral:rRNA from 1 species